UAUUCCCGCUCUCCCACCUUUAUUUUCAUUUUCAAUCUCCCCAAAAGGCUCUAUAAUAUGCGAUUUUUACUCAAAUUUAGGGUUUUUAGGAGAAGAAACGGUUUGCAGCGACAGCCGACGUGGAUACGAACAAGGUUUGUAUGGCGGAAGUGUUGGCGGGCGAGACAAUGAUUACUUUGGGAACUAGGGAUAACGACAAGAGCUUAUUAUGUGCUUUAAUUUGAGAUGUUUUGUUGAUUUUAUGAAAUGGUUUGAUUGGCUAAUUCGUGUGUAGAUGGUUCAGCGAAGUUGAAGGGAAGGAAAGUUCAAUUUGAUUCUCAAGGUUUAUCCCCAUUCCGACGAACCUUCACAGUUCAGUUCCCUACGACAUUUCGAUCUCCGUUCUGCAAAAGAGGUGGUCUGUUGAAUUUGAAAGAUCUGUUUGUUACUCCGUUUAUCGACGAACUUGAGCACCGUAUCUCAUUAGAGAUGUUGGUAUGUUUUCUCUGUUAUAUUCGUUUAAUUAGUACGACUUUGGAAUGAUGAUAUUUAAUUAAUUGAUUGUUGUUUGCAAAUCUUAUGUUUGAAAAGAAAUUUGAAUUCAUGCUACAAGUCGUGUUUCAUGAUUCUUUUGAGUAAUCUUUUUUUUUUUGUGAAUUGAUGCAAGAAGAGUACCAGAUGCAUACUUUUUUAUGCAAUGUUACAAUUUGUACUCUAUACAUUCCUUUCACAAAUCUGAAGGAAAAAAAUUAGAUUUUCUGCACCUUAAAUUAUAGAUAUGUUAGGCAUUUGGUUUUUAGGCUUUGAUCUAGUUACAAUUAUUGGUCUCUUUCCCUUGCGUUUAUGUACCUGUAUCGUAUACAUAGUUUUUUCAUAUUGGUAAAAAAAAAGUAAUUAAAUUAUUUGUUUUUUUAUAAAAAUACAUAGCAUAAUAAGGAGUAAAAUUUGAAAUCGAAAUCAACAAUGAUACCACAGUAUUGAGUUUCAUAUCGUGAACAACCUUUCUAUUUUGACAAGUUAUCUAACUAGCUUGUGUAUCUAUUCAAGUGAGUUUGGAUUUAAUCACACUGUACAACCAAAUUAAAGUACACACAUCAAUUUUUUCAACCUUCACUAUUUGCGUAUGAUUCUAUCAAGCUCCGAAGAUGAAGAUAAUGAGAGGACGAGACAGAAUUUUGAUUUUUGUCAACUGUGGUUGCGUUCUUAAUAAACCAAAGUAAAGACACUGCCGCAUCAUCGUCAAUAAGGUGGUGCCAUGAUAUUGGUGGUGAGCAUGCUACAAAUAAGCCUCUGAUAAAAACUGUUUUAUAGGUCAUGAUAAGAUUAUUUGGUCUAGCAAAACAACAUUAGUUUUUGCUAUACGCGAUACAACAAUAGUAAGUGCGGUCUACACACGUUUUUUUUAAAUAAGACUACGAAGAGAAGGAAGAACAGUUCAAAGAACAGGUAGAGUACAUGUUUUUUGAACAAAAUAUUAUGAUGGACAUAUAGACCUUAAAUGAUAAAUUGGCCUCAUUUUAUAUCUUUUUUUUCUUCAUACCCUCUUCACUAAUGAAAGAGUGGAUGAAAUUGGGUAUUUUUUCCAUUUUGUAGGUGAAGAUGAACAAAGUGAGUAGGAAAUCUGGGCAUGCUACAUAAGCAAACGGUGAAGGAGGUUCACUC